rnacentral:rRNA from 1 species
UGGGGAAUAUUGCACAAUGGGCGCAAGCCUGAUGCAGCCAUGCCGCGUGUAUGAAGAAGGCCUUCGGGUUGUAAAGUACUUUCAGCGGGGAGGAAGGGAGUAAAGUUAAUACCUUUGCUCAUUGACGUUACCCGCAGAAGAAGCACCGGCUAACUCCGUGCCAGCAGCCGCGGUAAUACGGAGGGUGCAAGCGUUAAUCGGAAUUACUGGGCGUAAAGCGCACGCAGGCGGUUUGUUAAGUCAGAUGUGAAAUCCCCGGGCUCAACCUGGGAACUGCAUCUGAAACUGGAAAGCUUGAGUCUCGUAGAGGGGGGUAGAAUUCCAGGUGUAGCGGUGAAAUGCGUAGAGAUCUGGAGGAAUACCGGUGGCGAAGGCGGCCCCCUGGACGAAGACUGACGCUCAGGUGCGAAAGCGUGGGGAGCAAACAGG